GACAGAGGGUGCAACCGUUGUUCGGAAUUACUGGGCGUAAAGCGCGUGUAGGCUGCUCAGAAAGUCGGAUGUGAAAGCCCUGGGCUUAACCUAGGAAGUGCAUUCGAAACUUCUGAGCUUGAGUUCUGGAGAGGAAGGCGGAAUUCUCGGUGUAGAGGUGAAAUUCGUAGAUAUCGAGAGGAACACCGGUGGCGAAGGCGGCCUUCUGGACAGUGACUGACGCUGAGACGCGAAAGCGUGGGGAGCAAACAGG
rnacentral:rRNA from 1 species